UGAUGAUGAUGAUGAUGAUGAUGAUGAUGAUGAUGAUGGUAGUGGUGGUGGUGAUUAUGCAGCCUAUGGCAGAGAUGCUGCUAUUCUCAUCGUCGUCGUUGUCAUCAUCAUCAUCAUCAACUCAA
rnacentral:pre_miRNA from 1 species